UGACUAUAACUAUUCUUUGGUCACGGCUUAGUCAUUUUACGUGACCAUCCACCCUCCACCUGCAAUUGGAACCCUAAUCCAUCACCUGCUACGAUAAGUUCAACUUCAUCGCUUAUCCAUUUUUGAGAAAAUUUUGAUAAUAUCCAAUAUCCAUUGUUCAUCAACAUCGGUUGAAGCUUGACUUGGUUUGACCUGUACAAAGCAUUGCAGCUGCUCGAACUUCAAAACUUCUUUAAGACCACCCAUAGUAGGGGGGUUUUUUGGCCUUUUUCUCCAAAAAAAAACGCCCAAACACGCCUUGGGAUCGCCCCCGGGGGCAUUUUUAUUGAAAAAAAUGGGGUGUGCCAAGUUACUUUGGUAGCUACUGUUUUAAAUUUCAAGGUUUGUGAAUUUACUAAGUGAUGCAGAUGUGAUUUGUUUUGUCUUGAGGAUUUCGAACUUCAGUAACAUCGCCACGAGAAUACUUUAUUGGUAACAAGAUCAUUUGGUACAGGUACAUUAUUAUCACUCUUUGUGUAUUGUUUUAUGAAAGCCUAACAAUUUUUAUUAGCAACAAAAACCCUGGGUAGCCGGGAUCACCCAGCACACCCGCCUAGAGGAAACCCACAAUCUCCAAAAACUACAACUACAAACAUCUAGUUGGUUUUGCUACUGUUUCAUUGAUGGACAAGAGAGUUGAAGCCAUGUGAGAGUUCGAACCCACCACCAGCCAACUGUUAAAACUCCGGCUCGCUCUUGUCCCUUUUGUGCCUGAAGAUGUUGUUGUCUUUGUUGUUGGUGCCCUCUCCGGUGCUACUGCCAAAAUAAUUAUUGCCCAUCUUGACCGGAUUAAACUUUAUUUCAGCAGUCCAAGGUUUGGGUGAGUUAAAUAUGUUGGGGGAGGGGUAUGAUUAUUGGCAUGAAGUUGCUGCUUAGAAUGAAUAUUUAAGCAUGGGUUCGGUUUGGUUUGGUUUUAGUUUCCAACGGUUCAGUUACGGAAUCAAACCGUAAACACCCCUAGUGGGUAUGGUUAGUUGUAUUUGUUAUAGGUUGGAUGUGCUAAAAGGUUGCUGAUUGGGGUUGCUAUGGGGGAAUAGAGGUCAAGACUACUAGGAAGUUUGAAGAGAAAAUUUAUAUAUUAUAAGUUCGGUUAAUUUUUUUUAUUAUUGUUUCUCUGUUUGGGUGCUUUUAAGAGGUUAAUGAUUCCAUUUCUACCCCUCUUGUAAGGUAAAAAGAAUGUAGCAUAUCGUCCAUUUUUUUAUGAAUGGGUCGUUUGGGUUGUAUUC